AUUGAACGCUGGCGGCAGGCCUAACACAUGCAAGUCGAACGAGGGGCGGACGGGAGAGUUAGGUCUGGGAAACUGCGCGAGGGAGGGGGAUAGCUACUGGGCACUGUAGCUGAUAACGCAUACCUGAGGAUGUGCCGGGAUGGGAUUAGCUAGGGGGAGGGGUAAUGGCUCACCUAGGCGCGGAUCCCGAGCGGGUCUGAGAGGAUGACCAGCCACACUGGAACUGAGACACGGUCCAGACUCCUACGGGAGGCAGCAGUGGGGAAUAUUGGACAAUGGGCGCAAGCCUGAUGCAGCCAUGCCGCGUGUAUGAAGAAGGUCUUCGGGUUGUAAAGUACUUUCAGCUGGGAGGCGUUACCCACAGAAUAAGCACCGGCUAACUCCGUGCCAGCCGCCGCGGUAAUAC
rnacentral:rRNA from 1 species